rnacentral:rRNA from 1 species
CCCUUAGAUGUUCUGGGCCGCACGCGCGCUACACUGAUGCAUUCAACGAGUUUCUUCCUGGUCCGAGAGGAAUGGGUAACCUUUUGAAAGUGCAUCGUGAUUGGGAUAGACUAUUGCAAUUAUUGGUCUUCAACGAGGAAUUCCUAGUAGACGUAGUUCAUCAGACUGCAUCGAUUACGUCCCUGCCCUUUGUACACACCGCCCGUCGCUCCUACCGAUUGAAUGCUCAGGUGAGCCAUUCGGACUUUCAUCAUGCUGGUUUCCAGUUUUGAUGAAGGAAAGUCUUGCGAACCUUAUCAUUUAGAGGAAGGAGAAGUCGUAACA